rnacentral:rRNA from 1 species
AUUGAACGCUGGCGGCAGGCCUAACACAUGCAAGUCGAGCGGAUGAAGGGAGCUUGCUCCUGGAUUCAGCGGCGGACGGGUGAGUAAUGCCUAGGAAUCUGCCUGGUAGUGGGGGAUAACGUCCGGAGACGGGCGCUAAUACCGCAUACGUCCUGAGGGAGAAAGUGGGGGAUCUUCGGACCUCACGCUAUCAGAUGAGCCUAGGUCGGAUUAGCUAGUUGGUGGGGUAAAGGCCUACCAAGGCGACGAUCCGUAACUGGUCUGAGAGGAUGAUCAGUCACACUGGAACUGAGACACGGUCCAGACUCCUACGGGAGGUAGCAGUGGGGAAUAUUGGACAAUGGGCGAAAGCCUGAUCCAGCCAUGCCGCGUGUGUGAAGAAGGUCUUCGGAUUGUAAAGCACUUUAAGUUGGGAGGAAGGGCAGUAAGUUAAUACCUUGCUGUUUUGACGUUACCAACAGAAUAAGCACCGGCUAACUUCGUG